rnacentral:rRNA from 3 species
GAUGCGUUGAGCUAACCGAUACUAAUGAACCGUGAGGCUUAACCUUACAACGCCGAAG